rnacentral:lncRNA from 1 species
AGAGACAGUCAUUCCUCACAGAAGUUUCAGGCUGAGGUAACACACGGGGAAGCAGCCACCGAGACCUUCCCAUGGUGCAGUAUGAGCCAAAUGGGGCCUCGCCACGGGUAAGAAGUGAGCCCACCAACCAAGAGGGAAGAGGGAGUCUGAACUUGAACCCGGCCAGGAUCCCUGUAAGCUAACAUUCAAAAUCCUCUUCUGACUUCAUUUUGGAGAAGGAAAUGGCAGCUGGAUGGCGGUGUGCACAUCCUGACCCAGCCCGCCACACUUCCAGAUUGCCUGGGAUGGCAACCCUGCAGAAGGAUGGCCGAGAUGUCACAAUACCCCAGCCAACCUCUAAGAGCAGAGCAGUUACCAGCAAGAAUAUCCUGGGAAAAUGAAAAGAACUAGAAACCGCAGACAUGGUGAUCGCCAGUGUUGACGGAAGCCCGGGUUCUUUCCUUACCCUCCAAGUGGUUUUUGCUUCUGAAGUUGAACCUAAUGUUUUCUCUUUUGUAGACACAAAGUCACAUCACACGUAACUGGAAUGCUCCUCUCUUCGCCUUACGCAUGUCCUAGACAUGGCCUUACCCUUUUGUACUCCCUUUCUCCUUUGAGGAAACAUGGACAUUUAACAGAACAGCUAGGAAAACAUUACAGUCAGAACUCAGUCACACAGUUAACAUGGACAGUAACACGGUGACACCUUGGUGGACUACUCCCCCCCCCCAUAAGAUCAGUUUUCUGGUCAAGACUAUUAUUAACAUCAAAUCAGAAGGGAGAAAUAGAGACUGGAAACCAGGGAAGGUGAGCUCUGGACCCAGAACGGAAUUCUGUGCCCCUGACCUCACAGGGAUGAAGACUAAAAAUUCAUCCCCAGAAGAACCUAUGUUACCAGCAGAGAGUUGUGGCUCAUGGCAAUUCUCCCUCUGGGGGGAUGGACACAGGCUGAUUCCUUGAGCCCCCUGGCUGCACUCCCUGGGUUUAUGUCAAUGGGACACAAGCCAGGGUCAUCUAAGAACCACAAGCCUAAAAAUGCCCCCCACCAGAUUGGCCUGUGGGUUGGCUUGUGGUGCGUUUUCCUGAUUGCUAUGGGAGGACCUAGUUCAUGUAGUCAGUGCCACUCUUGGACUGGUGGUCCUGGGUGUUAUCAGAAAGCAGGCUGAGCAAGCCAUGAGGGGCAGGCCACUGAGCUGCACCCCUCCAUGGCCUCUGCUUCCAUUCUUGCUUCCAGGUUCCUGCCUUGAGUCCUGUCAUAUCCGUCUUCAGUGACUGAUUUAUAAGGUGAAAUAAACUGUAAGGUGUAAGGUGAAAUAAGCCCUUUUCUCCCCAAGUUGCUUUUGGUGACAGUACUUUAUUGCAAUCCUAACCAAGCCACUGGCAGGACUGUCUAGCUGACUUGAACUCUAGACCAGAGAGAGACUCAAAGACAAGGUGGACGGUACCUAAGGAAUGACAGCCUUUCUUGUUCUCUCUUUAGCUUCCAAACCUAUUCACAAACACACACACACACACACACACACACACACACACACACACACACACACACACACAUGCUGGUAUACACACAUACACAAACAUGGAUACACACACACACACACUCACACACACACACAUGCACACACUCUUUCUGACUGGGCUUACUCAACUGCACUUCAAAUCCUGCUCAGUCAUGAAGAGCUAGAAAGUCUGUUUCUUGAGAAAGGAGCCAGUGAGCUCUGCAGACUUGAGUAGGUCCUAGCAGGGUUCAAAAAUAAGAAGUUGUUUGGUACAACUCAUGUGCUCUUUCGUCUUCCUCCUUCCAACGUGACAGCGGUUGGGCCUUGUGCUGCAUUCUGUAGCACCAGCCAGGAACAGCUGUUUACUGAAUACAAUCUCACCUCUUCGGGUACUGUAAGCGGCUGAAGUCUAACCAGAGACGUCCUUGCUAAAAUGCAGUUUCAUUUGUAUCUCUAUAAGCACGCAUGACGACCACAGUGAUAAGUCAUCACAUGGUAAGAAUUACCAUUAACACAGGGAGGCAGUGGCAAAAUACAAAGCCUGGUGGCUUCAAAUACAGUGACACUGUGCCAAGAGUCCAUAGCCAGCCCCGUAAACUAUUAUCAGUCAGUUUCACCAUGCUAAAAUAAUUUUUCAGCAAUACUGAGAUUGCCUUCAUCUCAUCUCUGCUGAUCCUACAUAGGGAAGGAGGAGAAGCCCGGGUCCACCUCAUGACAGCUUGCUUUCAGGCAGCUGGUGGAGCUCAAACAUCUCUCCUUAGCAAAGGGAAUCAUGGAAUGGAUUGCCAGGCUCAUUAGCAUGGCUACCUCCCACCUCUGGCCACUACCUGACCUGACACGUGGAACAACGCUCAUCUUCUUCAAGGACUGUGCCUCUACCCAUUGUACCACACUUCCCUGCUUGUCUGUCAGUUCUUACCAAUGUGCAGCUGAAACUUAAGAGGUAGUUCUAAAAUAAAACCAUUACUUGCUUCAAAA